rnacentral:lncRNA from 1 species
UGAGUGUAUUGUGUGUGGGCCCUAAUGUUGCCAUGAACGCUGUAGGGUAUUUUUAUUACUAUGUCUUCUUCAUGUUGAGAGAUUGAGAUCUAAAGAAGAUAAGAAAUUGGCUGAAGGUAUAAAAAAAAAAAAGAAAAAAAAAUUGGCUGAAGCUCACACAAUUAGUAAAUGUUAGAACCAGAAUAAAACGGAGUUCUGAGUGACUUGAAAGUGUAUGCUUUAUACACAUUAUGACCUUGUAUUUCCCAUUAUUCCCAUCCUUUGGUCACCAAGUGACUUUACCUUCAGUGAAGAGCCCUGGGGUCUGUGAUGGUUGCUUAUAUUAUCAGUGCUCAUCAUUAGCUGUUGACAUUUGUCUACAUAUAACAGUGAUUUUUACUGCUUAGGAGGAAACUUUCAAAGGUGUUUCUGCAACAUAGCUCCAGCUGGAGGUGCUGCUUAAACUCUUCAAGGUCAAGAUGAAUCAAACUCAGAGGAGGCUUUACCCCUGGACCAUGCAAGCUCCUGAGGUCUGGGAGGAACUGCUGACAGUGAAAGUGGAGAUGGAAAGUCGCCUCCCAAUGCAGGAAUCCCGACUGAGAUGGAGUAAUCCCCUCAGGGAUUUUUAACCGAGGGAAAUUUAUCUGAAAGCACUUUCGACAGGAGAUCCCUGGGCCCUGCGAGGCCCUCACCUGGCUCUGGGAGCUGUGUCAACACUGGCUGCGCCCUGAGACCCACAGCAAGGAGCAGAUCCUGGAGCUGCUGGUGCAGGAACUGUUUCUGAUCAUCCUCCCGAGAAGCUCCAGGCCUGGGUGCAGGAGCAGCACCUCGAGAGUGGGGACAAAGUGGUGGCUACCAUGCUGGUGGACCUGGAGAGGGAGCUAGAUGAAUCACAGCAUGAGGUGGUAGCUACACACAGGGGCAAGAAGUCCUCUCCAGAGGGACAGUGCCUCUGGGACAGCAGACAUCACUGAGGCUUCAGUCCCAGCCCAGAGGACCCCAGCCCACAUGGGAUGCUGCUCAGGAGGCCCAUCCCUGGAGAGACAGCCAUCUUUUCCUUUAUUCUGCCUUCCAAGCUGUAUCUAGAACCUACUGGGGACUCCUUUCUUCAGGACGCACAUCUGAGCAUGUCCUUGCUCCCAUCUGCCCAUUGCUCGCCGCCUCCCUCCAUCCAGUCAUCCAUUAAGCAUCGAAUAUGGCUGCUGGAGAGCACCCAAGGGCUCUCUUACAGGACUGUCACUACAGGUAUGAUUUCAAAUAUUCUGUGAUUAAAUUCCUUAUAUAACAACAAGAUCUUGAACAAGAUAUUUUCUGGCAAGUUUCUAUACGAAGUAUGAUCCGACUCACUUCAUCCUAAACACAGCUUCUCUCCAGAGUGUGCUAAUUCCUAAAAUGCCACAGCAACAUGGUGAUCGGAUCUUUGGAAUUAAUAAGUAUUGAAUUGUUUUGAAACAGAAAAAAUUUUUAUAGCUACUGAGUUUUCUGUAAGGAAGGAGUGGUUAGUAAACUGCACUGCUUCUGUGAUAAUAUGAAAUGAGAAGUAUUUACAUUGGAGGGCCAGUUGCUGGUUCUUUAUAAACUGUUUUGAAGUGCAGUAUUUACUGAAAAAUGCAUAUGGUAUCUUUCUGAAGAGAGGCUUUAUAGGCAAGCUGGGCAGGUCCAGCUUAUAAGUUAAAUCACUGUAAAGUGAGGGUACAAUAGAUAAAUCUGAGGAAAUAAGAGAUUUAUAAGACACUAAGACCAGCUUAGUUUAUAAUGAGGAGGAGUUCUGUUAGGAGAAGAAAAUUUCCAAUCAUUCAGUCAGUUUAAGCAGAUAUACAUGUAAACCAGAAUCAUCUCUUUACAAGUUUAUUAUAAUUUUUAUUACCAUGUAUAUUCCUCUUAUGUUAUUUAAGAGGAUAUUUCCCUCUUGCUUUAUAUAGCCCAAUCCCUACGUUAUGAUUAUACUUUUUUGCUUUUACUGGUUCAACAUUAUAUUGAUGGAUGAGGUCAUUUUUACAUGUAUUAAGUUACUGAGUUCAUGAAGGCCCACCUUCAUGACUGGUGAUAGAAGACAGCCAGGCAUUUUACAAAUAGCCUCUGAGUCAGCUUUGUAAUUUUGGAACAGAAUGGGUUUUAUUGCCUUUCCAGACACAAGGCUGCAAAAUCAAUUUAGAAAAUAAUUUAUUUUACAGUUAAAAUAUAUGGUAGUUUAAAGGUGUCUGCUUAUUUGGUUCAUCAGUCUAAUUGUUAAAGUCUGCUGUUGUUUAGAAAAGGAAACAUAAAAUGGACAAGUAUAUGGCCAGCUUGUGGUCUAGCAGAAACUGCUUCUCUAGCAGUAAUACCAAAGUAAAUAGUGGAGUCUUCUCUAGCAGAUCUGCAGUAUAAGAAAACAUUGUCUUUUCUUAGACUCUCCGAUCUCAGUCCUCAUAUAUUGCCCAUUAAUGUUUUGCCUUUCAUUACAUAGGUCUUAGUCUUAGUGUAGAUUAACUCAGAGUGGUAACUGUUUCCAAAGCAGCAGCCAUAUUAAAUUCUAUAUAUUUAGAUAUUAGAUUCUCUAUAGAGAAUCUUCCUAUAGUUGACAUUAAUUGCCAGAAAUAACUAUAUACUACUUUGAGAAGAAGACAGUCAAAAAUAAAGUUCUGAUGUGGGAUGAAACUGAAAAAUCCAGUAAUAUUUGUAAACUUGAGUGAAAAGAGUUACAGACCAACUGAAAAAUCAAUUUGUUUCAAUAAAGUGACUUUGGGGGGUAAUGAUCAUUGUUUUGUAUUUCUGAAGUAUUGAGUUUAGAAAUCAGUUGUAUAAUAAUGCUUUUGUAUAUUUGUCUUUUCCCUUGUAUUUUUAAACCAGUAAUCUAUAUAAAUAAAUUUUUCUUUCAUGUAAGAUUCUUGCAAAUUUCCAAAUUGAGUCAGCAAUGUCAUAGUUAUUUUUCAAGGUUUUUUUAAGCAACUGAAUUUGUAAAAUUAAUGUAGUUAAAAAUACUCCUUUUUCUUUAUAUUAAAGACUUACAUUUUUUGCACAGACUUCAGAAAUAGAAGUCUACUUCUGUUAAUACAGGCCUUCUGCUUUUUUCCCCACUUUUUACGCUUCAAUGUUUUAAAAAUAUUCAGAUAUUUGAGGGCUCACUCUAGUAUAGGUAUUGUUUUAAGUAUUGUGUCUAGGGCAGCCCUGGUGGCCCAGCAGUUUAGCAUCGCCUUCAGCCCAGGGUGUGAUCCUGGAGACUAGGGAUCGAGUCCCACGUUGGGCUCCCUGCAUGGAGCUUGUUUCUCCCUUUGCCCUGUGUCUCUGCCUCUCUUUCUCUCUCUCUCUGUGCCUCUCACAAAUAAAUAAAAUCUUUUUUAAAAAUAAGUAUUUGGCUAUAGUUUGUAAGCAAGACAAACCAAAUCUUUUCCCAUAUAAGCUUACGUUCAAAUUGGAGAUCAGGUAAAAAAAUGAACCAAAACAUAGUAUUUCAUGUAGUGAUAAAUGCCAUGGGAAAAAAAUUAAGCAGGUAAAAGGCAGGGGAGCAUACCUCAGAAGGGUCUUCCCUAAUAUUCCUAAGGUUAUUUUUGGGCUAGAAAGGAGUAAUAAGAAGGAUGAGAAUGGUAACAAAUGAGUUCAGAGAAGUAGGUAAGAGUCAGAUCAUAUAGGCCUCUUUGGCCAAAGUAAUAAGCAAAUUUUCUUCUAAGCUAGACAAAGCCAUUGGAUAGUUUUACAUAAAUGAUUAAAGGGAUCUGAUUUUUUUUUUCUUUUAAGUUUACUGGCUAAUGCUGAGAAUAAAGUAUACGUGAAUAGGAAGGAGGAAGAAUAGUUGGGAAACUACUACAGGCAAGAGGUAGCUCAGACUAGGGGAAUGGCUGAUAGAGUGGUUGGGAAGUGGUCAAAUUUGGGAUACGCUUUUUUGUUCCUUUUUUUUUUAAGAUUUUAUUUAUUUAUUCAUGAGAGAGAGAGGUUGAGGGAGAAACAGGCUCCAUGCAGGGAGCCUGACGUGGGACUCCCACAAAGUCCUGGGACUUUAGGAUCACGCCCUGGGCUGAAGGCAGGUGCUAAACCACUGAGCCACCCAAGGAUCUCUACUUUUUUGUUCUUAACACCCAGGUGAACUUCCAAUUUCUCAAGUUUGUACAGUUUAAUGUAAAAAAAAAAAAAAUAAUUUUUCUAAAAAUAAAAUCUAUUAUGACUAUUACUUGGAACAAAACUAAUUGCUAUGCUAUAAUGGCUCCUAAUUUCAAGUCAGGAUACAAUGGCAGUUUCCUUUUUUUUUUUUUUUUUUUUUUACAAUGGCAGUUUCUAAAUGUGCAUGAGCUCAGAAGUGCCACUAAUUUUAGCAUUCAUUGGUGAAUUUUCCGUGCAACAAAGAUUACUGUGGAGUUCCAUGGUGGUUUUCUUCUUUCCUGUUCCUUCUACAUUUAUUGGAAUUCUCUAAGGAUGAUUUUUUUUUUCCUUUUCCUUAUAUUCAAUCUUUUUUUUUUUUUAAGAUUUUAUUUACUUAUUCAUGAGAGACAGAAAGAGGAAGAGACACAGGCAGAUGGAGAAGCAGGCCCCAUGCUGAGAGCCCGAUGUGGGACUUGAUCCCAGGACCCAGGACCAUACCCUGGGCUAAAGGCAGGCACCAAACCAUUGAGCCACCCAGUGAUCCUUCAUUCGUAUUAUUUUGGACUUACAGAUACCUUAUUCUUUGGUUUACAAUUCAUUAUUAUCAUUAUUAAUCUAUUUUUCAAAUGGUUCUCCAGAUUUUGCCAUUCGAAGUCAAAGUUCCCAGUGUUAAUUUCCAAGUUGGUUUCUGUAUCUUUUUGACCUGUCUCUCCUUUUUUUCUUAAGUGUAGAACUAUGUGUUUUAGGUUUAUGGCACUAUAGUCUUCUAAACUGUAAAUAUCCUAAGGGGCAUAAUAAUAUUUCCUUAACUAAUACCUUAGUAUGAAUUAGUAUUCCUUAGUAUUAGUAUUUCCUUAACUAAUACCUUAGUAUGUAUUAGCCUUAUGGAGUUGCAUGAUGCUAACAGUUGGAAAAGACCUUAGAGGCUAUAUAAUUUAAAUUCCUUAAUCUUACCUUGAAUUUUUAUUAACCAUCACACCUUCACUCAGUUCUGUGUUAGUGCUAAUAAAGGAAGACUUCUUAAAAUAUAUAUAUAUGUGUGUGUGUGUGUGUGUGAAGUUUGGGCAGAAGGGCAGUACUGAUCCCACUUGUGGCCCAUUUCUUCUCUGCAGACACAUUUCUGUUUUCCAAACCUGUUGCCAUCCUUCAGCUAUAAGGACUGAGAGAACCAUGGUCUGACAACAGAGGAGUACUCAGAGGUACUUGUUCAGGGGUGUGAGGGAGGGACAGGACAGUUAGCUGUGGGAGAAAGCUGGAUGUUUUGAUAAAGAGAAGGGCUGGGGCUGUUUUCCCUGGGCUUUCUGGUUUGCAAGAUAGAAGUCUGUUAGUUGGGAAGCUCCAUGGAAGCUUUCUAGUUGUGAUCUGAAACUAGCCCCUCCUUGGGGGGCAGGGAGAGACCCAGGAAAGAGGGAAGCUGGUGGUGUUCCCAAGCAAAGGAGGCUCACAGGUGAGGCUCUUCCCAGGUGGUGGCAGAAUGAGUAGAUACCCACACCCACCAGCCAGAUCUGAAAAGUAAUGUAGAGG